AACGAACGCUGGCGGCAUGCCUAACACAUGCAAGUCGAACGAGACCUUCGGGUCUAGUGGCGCACGGGUGCGUAACGCGUGGGAACCUGCCCUUAGGUUCGGAAUAACUCCCCGAAAGGGGUGCUAAUACCGGAUAAUGUCUUCGGACCAAAGAUUUAUCGCCUUUGGAUGGGCCCGCGUUGGAUUAGCUAGUUGGUAGGGUAAAAGCCUACCAAGGCGACGAUCCAUAGCUGGUCUGAGAGGAUGAUCAGCCACACUGGGACUGAGACACGGCCCAGACUUCUUCGGGGAGGAAGAGGGGGGAAAUAUUGAAAAAGGGGCAAAGGCCUGAUCCACCAUUGCCGGGUGAGUAUUGAGGCCUUGGGGUUUGAAAACCUUUUUUCCCCGGAAGGAAAAGAACAUACCGGGGAAAAAAGGCCCCGCCAACCCCCGUG
rnacentral:rRNA from 1 species